rnacentral:snRNA from 1 species
GGAUGUGGGGGCGAUCUGGCUGCAACAUCUGUCACCCCAUUGAUCGCCAGGGUUGAUUUGGCUGAUCUGGCUGGCUAGGCGGGUGUCCCCUUCCUCCCUCACCGCUCCAUGUGUGUCCUUCCCGAAGCUGCACGCUCGGUCAAAGAGGAUGACAAUCCCUGAUAGAGGAGGACUGGUCUUCGGUCAAGGGUAUACGAGUAGCUGUGCUCCCCUGCUAGAACCUUCAAACAAGCUCUCCAGGUCCAUACAACACAGUGAAAUAAGUGAAUGAAUAAAUUUAUACUAUAAAAUUGCUAUCUGAUUUU